rnacentral:lncRNA from 1 species
UACAUACUUGUCUUAGUGUCACAACACGAAUGGGUUGAGACUUUCCAUCCUUCCCAUUGAAGCGGACAAGGUAUGUACCGGUCUAAGCAUUGUCAGUAUCCCUCCGACAAUCCAACGACCAGGAACCUUUUGGACAUAAUGGUUAUGUGAAGAAGGUCUCUGUAGUCUAACUCAUUAGAUUACUUCUUCAAUCGAUCCAUUGUCCAUGGAUUCACUAUUCAGGACUUAUAUCGUUUAUUGAGAUAGUCCUAAUUAGUAUCUUUGCCUUUUUUAUGUAUAAGAAUCAUCCAUACAUCGAUUCAUUUGUCCUGAAAGAUUUCUUCCAAAGAUUGACUUUCAGGGCAUAUUCCAACAGGGAGAAAGCAUGAUAUGAGAUACUCUUGCUUUUAACCUUCAUGAUAUGAAAUACUUUUGCUUUGGAUGGGUUGUUUG